CAAUAGCGUAUAUUAAAGUUGUUGCGGUUAAAAAGCUCGUAGUUGGAUUUCUGUUGGGAACGACCGGUCCGCCCAUUGGGUGUGUAUCUGGCUUGUUCUCGGCAUCUUCUUGGUGAACGUUGCUGCACUUGACUGUGUGGAGCGCUACCCAGGACUUUUACUUUGAGGAAAUUAGAGUGUUUCAAGCAGGCAUAUGCCUUGAAUACAUUAGCAUGGAAUAAUAAGAUAGGACCUCGGUUCUAUUUUGUUGGUUUCUAGAGCUGAGGUAAUGAUUAAUAGGGAUAGUUGGGGGCAUUCGUAUUUAACUGUCAGAGGUGAAAUUCUUGGAUUUGUUAAAGGCGGACUACAGCGAAAGCAUUUGCCAAGGAUGUUUUCAUUGA
rnacentral:rRNA from 1 species